CAGUCGCCACGGUAAUACGAAGGGGGCUAGCGUUGCUCGGAAUGACUGGGCGUAAAGGGCGCGUAGGCGGCGAUCAAAGUCAGGCGUGAAAUUCCUGGGCUCAACCUGGGGGCUGCGCUUGAUACUGGGUUGCUUGAGUGGGGAAGAGGGUCGUGGAAUUCCCAGUGUAGAGGUGAAAUUCGUAGAUAUUUGGAAGAACACCGGUGGCGAAGGCGGCGACCUGGUCCUUUACUGACGCUGAGGCGCGAAAGCGUGGGGAGCAAACAGGAUUAGAUACCCCCGUAGUCCCUGUCUCUUAUAC
rnacentral:rRNA from 1 species